AGAAAUAGGAGGUUCUCUACAUGAAAGUUGGAGGCUAAAAAGAGACACAUGGGGAGGAGGAACUUGUCCAAGACAGCAGAGGAGCUGAUACAGCAGAGCUGUUUGUGCCUACAGAUGUAUCAGGAAGCUAUACUAUCCACUUCAGAGAAACAACAACUACAAAAAAAAAAGCCGGGGUACAGAAGACUACUUUGACAGGACUGCAGAAUUCUCACCUCACUUCAGACUCUGCUGUUGCUUUUAGUCUUUCUGUUUUCCUUUACCAGUAAAGCCCCAUGUGAGCUUGUUUGAAUUCCUAUAGCAUCUACCAGCUCUAAUCAUAGUCCACAAAGAUAUGCAGAACCACAAAACAAAAUGCUUUUUGUUUUUCACCUUCAACUCUAAAGUGCUUUAUCUUGUUUUCUGAACAUGCAGUAGAGCACAUGUGAACUUGGGAAGGAACCCUGAGACGCAGGCACUGUCAUAAGCUCCCACGCUCCAAGUGGAAGUUGUUCUUGCCUGCAGACAAGCCUCAUGUCUAGCAUACAGCAUAUAGCUCUUCUGCUCACCAUUUCACCCUUCCUUUUGCAAGAGUUGAGGCAGGAAGGAGCAGCUGUAGGGAACUGAGGCUUGCUUCAAUUUAUUAUUGCAAAUUUUAUCCUGUAAGGAAGAAAGGGACUAGAUGAACUCUUUGUAGGUCCUGAGUGCACUAACAAGCCUUAAUGGCUCUGAGGAGCCUCACCUGCAGUUUCUACACAUACCUAUGGACCCAGGAGCUCUAUUUAAGCUCAGCCCCGGGGUUUCAGUCCUCACUUGAGCUGUGUCACUGUUUUUCAGUUCAGCUGUGUCUGUGCCACAGCAAUACUUGAUCUGGGCCUCAAUAAGUGGACUGAAUUCCUGGUUCAGCUUCAGCCUGGUCUUAUGGCGAUGGCUCUGCCUUGGUGCUUCCUGGACCUGAUCCUAACCAUGACUGCAGGAUUGUGCUCCUAUCUUCACCUUGGAUCUCUCUCUUCAUCUUGAUGCUGCCUUGUGGACUUCUGGCUGAGUGUGACCUCUGUCAAGUCUGUCCUGUACAGGUGCUGUGAGAGUGGGUCCUGGAUGGUGAGGUCCCUGCCCUGCUAGUGAGGUUAACCAUUUUUGCUCCUACCUUACCUUCCCCCUUAGGGAAGACUCUUGUUCCUGCUGCUCUCUGACAACCUCAAACAUGAGGUUUACCCUUAAGUUACCUGAAUCGCUGCUAUUUUUAAGGGGGUGGAAAUAUUCCCUAAUUAAAAAGCUAUUUUGAAGAUGGAACAGAGCUUCUCCCCUUUCACAGAGCAGUUUGCACACCCUUUUCCUGAUCCCCACAUUAACAGGGGUUGGUAGCUGUGACAUUCCUACAGGAAAAACAGGUUAUUCUUUCCCUACUACCUGUGGCCCUCCCGUUGUUGCAUAUAGAUGCACACAAUGCAGGCAAAAUUUUUUUGUGGUGACAGUUAAGUAUUUCUUCUACCUAACAGCCCUAGGGUGUGAGGUACAAACUCCCACUAGUCGUUAUUGCUCUGUAUCCCCAAAUCUAAAAACAUGAUACUUCAUGGUCAUUUCUCUGCAUUUUCCUGACAAGAGAUCCUUUAACGCAAAGUUCCUGUGACAUAAAUCAUCUCUGUGCAACCUAUGGAAACAUCAGCAUUUAUGUGAUUCAGUUUAAGCCACGUGAGCAGAGGCCUGAUCUCUAUAAAUGGUUUCUGGUUUUGGUGUGCUGCCAGCCUCCCUCUUAUAUCACAGACAAGAACUCUAUAAAGCUAGGAAAGCACUCUAAGGAAUGAGUAACAGGAGCUUCCCGGUGACCUCCAGAAGAAGCAAAAAGCAUGGUAUGGAUUCACCUGGCAUAUUCCCUGAGUGAACCAAUUCCCAGCUGACCACAACUGAUAUCACAUUCCUUGUUCAUAUGAAACUGUGACCCAUCCACGGAUGUUUAGCAUGACUUGAAGAGCUCCACAUUUUUCCUGGAGCUCUCAAAGUGUGAAAUAUAGUGUCCUAGAAAAUAGCUUUAAAAGAAUUGCUCUGUCAUAGGGCAAUACAUGAAUUGCACACAUGAGCAGGACUGUUUCCCAAAGCUAGACUCAGUCCAUUUGCUAGACCAGAACCAGCCUUGUGAAUUCAAGCUCUAUAGUGAGAAAGACCCUGUGUGUAACCCUUGUUGGAGUGAAUUAGCUCAUUUCAGGGCCUUCCUUUGGGGAGAAGUAUUGCUUAAUUAUAGAAAGCUUUAUACAAAGAAACUUUGUAUCUAAUAAUGAAAACAAAGUUGUUCUCUGUAUUCUUCAACAUUGCUGGGGAGAAAAAGCAAUCUUCUGCAGUUAAGAAUAUACACAUAA